UACGUAAUGACACAUCAAUAAAAAUAAAUAUCUUUCACAUUGACCGCGUGAAUGGUCAUCCAAAAAAACGGAUGUGAUUGCACGACUGUGUAAAACACUUUACACUGUUAAACCAGUGAUCCUUU